GAUUAAGAACGUAGCGAAAUGCGAUAAUUAAUGUGAAUUGCAGAAUUUAGUGAAUCAUCGAAUCUUUGAACGCACAUUGCGCCCCUUGGUAUUCCGGGGGGCAUGCCUGUUCGAGCGUCAUUUCAACCCUCAAGCUCUGCUUGGUCUUGGGCCGCGCCGGCGACGGCGGGCCUCAAAAACAGUGGCGGCGCCAUCUGGUUCCUCAGCGUAGUAAUUCUUCUCGCUGUUGGGCCCGGGUGGCCGCUGGCCAGCAACCCCAAAUUUUCUAUGGUUGACCUCGGAUCAGGUAGGGAUACCCGCUGAACUUAAGCAUAUCAAUAAGCGGAGGA
rnacentral:misc_RNA from 1 species